GACGAACGCUGGCGGCGUGCUUAACACAUGCAAGUCGAACGGAAAGGCCCUGCUUUUGUGGGGGGCUCGAGUGGCGAACGGGUGAGUAACACGUGAGUAACCUGCCCUUGACUUUGGGAUAACUUCAGGAAACUGGGGCUAAUACCGGAUAGGAGCUCCUGCUGCAUGGUGGGGGUUGGAAAGUUUCGGCGGUUGGGGAUGGACUCGCGGCUUAUCAGCUUGUUGGUGGGGUAGUGGCUUACCAAGUCUUUGACGGGUAGCCGGCCUGAGAGGGUGACCGGCCACAUUGGGACUGAGAUACGGCCCAGACUCCUACGGGAGGCAGCAGUGGGGAAUAUUGCACAAUGGGCGGAAGCCUGAUGCAGCAACGCCGCGUGCGGGAUGACGGCCUUCGGGUUGUAAACCGCUUUCGCCUGUGACGAAGCGUGAGUGACGGUAAUGGGUAAAGAAGCACCGGCUAACUACGUG
rnacentral:rRNA from 1 species